UGCCCUGGGUAGCUUAGCGGUGAGCUACAGGUGUCAGUUGUUUCGUAGGUUGAGCAACUGUCGUGGGUUCGAAUCCUACCUGGGCAC